rnacentral:lncRNA from 1 species
GGAUCAGGAGGACACGCUGAUGGCGGCCACCCUCUAGGGGAGAACGGGCUCCGGAACCUCACAGAGAUGAUGAUGCUACCUACGUACCAGUAUACAGAACUGACUAUCAAAAUGCCUAGGGGCUUUUGGUCCCUCCUUGAAUGUCCUCUACCUCCAGCAUCAACUUUAUACCCAGAGGUGCCUGUCUCCAGAUGAGUAAGUGAUAGACUAAUGCUCAUUCCAUAAGAACUUAUGAUUGUGUGGUUAUAUUCAUGGAUGUGUUCAGGUAUCUUUUUCCAUGG